rfam:Candidatus Falkowbacteria bacterium RIFOXYA2_FTLL_38_12 rifoxya2_full_scaffold_108, whole genome shotgun sequence.
GUGGUUAGACAUAAGGGCGUAUGGUGGAUGCCUAGACAUCAAAAACGAAGAAGGACGUAGUAGCCUGCGAUAAGCCUCGGUUAGGUGGCAAGCAACCUUUGACCCGGGGAUUUCCGAAUGGGGUAACCCGCUUUGAUUGAAGAUCAAAGCAUCACUGUCUGAAUAAAUAGGGCAGUGAAGACGACCUGGUGAAGUGAAACAUCUCAGUAGCCAGAGGAAAAGAAAACAAGACAUACGCGAAUUUAUUUGCGAAUAGAAUAAAUGGUUUGCCAAUAGCAAUAUUUGCUUCCGUUUAUAAAUGUUCGCAGAGAUAUUCGUGUGUUUCCAUUCCCUUAGUAGCGGCGAGCGAACGGGGAUCAGUCAAAAACUCUAUCAGUGUUUUAGGGAACCGGAAGGGAGUCGCAAGACAAACUUCCAUCCUUAAUUAAAGGUUUGGGCCGUUGCUGGUAGAGGGAUGAGAGUAGAUAACGUUGUUUUCCCAAUAAAACAGGUAAGAAAAGUCUCGCAAAACGAGAUCAGUUCCUAAGAGAACUUCUGUGGAAACAGAGACCAUAGAGGGUGAUAGUCCCUUAUCUGAAAGGAAUUGUAACCUUACGGUAAUUUACUCAAGUACUACAGGCCUCGUGAAAUCCUGUAGGAAUCAAGCACGACUAUGUGCUAAGACUAAAUAUUUUUGAUGAUCGAUAGUGAACAAGUACCAUGAGGGAAAGGUGAAAAGCAGGCCGGUUAGGCCGAUGAAAUAAUACCUGAAACCAUACGCUUACAAGGAGUCAGAGUCCCAACCUUAGCCGCAAGGCGAAAGGGGGAUGAUGGCGUUCCUAUUGAAGAAUGAGCCAACGAGUUUGCUAUACGUGGCUUGGUUAACCCCAAAACGGGGGAAGCCGAAGUGAAAGCGAGCCUUAAUAGGGCGUUGGAGUAUGCACUAAGAACCGAUUUCGUUGCGAGAAAUAAAAAUAUCGUGCGAAAGACCCGAAGAACGACGAGACGUAGUGAAUAAACUACGGCGAGAAGUUCUGAGGGGCUUGCAGCCGAGAUUUUUAUUUCGCAGUAGAAAUAGAUUUUUAGUGCAUACUCCUUGUGUCGCGUAUACAAAACCCGAAACCGGGUGAGCUAGCCAUGACCAGGGUGAAGGUUCGAGAAAUCGAACUGGAGGCCCGAACCCACGCACCGUGCAACAUGCGGGGAUGAGUUGUGGCUAGAGGAGAAAUUCCAAUCGAACUCGGUAAUAGCUGGUUCUCUCCGAAAUAGCUUUAGGGCUAGCCUCGGUUAUCGCACCUAGGGGUAGAGCACUGAAUGGUUUAAUCCCUGCUUUUGUAGGGUUAAACUAAUCAAACUCCGAAUACUAGGUGUUAAUUCCGAGAGUCAGACUGUGAGGGCUAAGCUUCACUAGUCAAAAGGGAAACAGCCCAGACCGUCGCUUAAGGUCCCUAAAUCUGAGUUAAGUGUGAAAGGUGGUGGAACGACUUAAACAACUAGGAGGUUGGCUUAGAAGCAGCCAUCCUUUAAAGAUAGCGUAACAGCUCACUAGUCAAGUUGUUCUGCAUCGACAAUAAACGGGACUAAACUCAGUACCGAAGGCACGGACAUCAUUGCUUUGCAAUGGUUUGGUAGGAGAGCAUUUUGUAACCACAGAAGUCGUAUCCGUGAGGAACGGUGGAGGUUACAGAAGUGAGAAUGUUGGCAUAAGUAGCAGAAAUGCUGUUGAAAACACAGCACACCGAUAACCCAAGGUUUCCUGGGCAACGCAAAUCGUCCCAGGGUUAGUCGGGCCUAAGCCGAGGCCGAAAGGCGUAGGCGAUGGACCAGCUGGUUAAUAUUCCAGCACUCCCGUAUUUUUGUUUUUAGAUGCGCUUUUAUGUGGCAAAAGAGUGUUUUGGUUAUACACUUGUAUUCCGUAGCAAUACGGAGGACUAAGAUGAAGCCGCAAGGUGGAAUCAAUUUUUGUAAAGUAAGAGCCUAGAAAAGUUUAAAAGCGUUAGGAAUACGGGAUCCGUACCGGAAACCGACACAGGUGGGUAAGGCGGGAAGCCUAAGGUGUACGGGAGAACCCUCGUUUAGGAACUCGGCAAAAAAACUAGGCGUAAGUUAGCAAUAAGCCUUCCCCGACGCAAGUUGGGGUGCAAUGAAAAUAUCUCAAGUGACUGUUUACCAAAAACACAGGUCCCUGCGAAGCCGUAAGGCAAUGUAUAGGGGCUGAUGCCUGGCCAGUGUCAGAACGUUAAGGGGAGAGGUUAGUCGCAAGACAAAGCCUUGAACUGAAGCGCUGAUGAACGCCGGCGAUAACUAUAAUCGUCCUAAGGUAGCGAAAUCCCUUGUCGGGUGAGUUCCGACCCGCACGAAUGGCAUAACAACUUGAGAACUGUCUCAACGAGGGACCCGGUGAAAUUGCAAGAGGGGUGAAGAUGCCCUUUUCCCAUAAUUAGACGAAAAGACCCCGUGAAGCUUUACUAUAGCUUGAUAUUGGGUUAGGAUUAAGCAUGUUCAGCGUAGGUGGGACCCGCAAGGGGCCAAUGAGACACCACCCUUGCUUAAUUUUAAUUCUAAUCCUGCGCCUAUAAGAGGUUGGAAAUUUUUUUCAAUUUCUUACAGGCGCGGGAGACAGUGUCUGGUGGGUAGUUUAACUGGGGCGGUUGCCUCCCAAAAAGUAACGGAGGCGUUUACAAAGGUUGGCUUAGCCCGGAUGGAAACCGGGCUGGACGUGUAAAGGCACAAGCCAGCUUUACUCGAAGACUUACAAGUCGCCGAGUUGCGAAAGCAUAACUUAGUGAUCCGACGAUCCAACAUAGGAUGGUCGAAGCUCAACGGAUAAAAGCUACUCCGGGGAUAACAGGCUGAUCUUGCCCGAGCGUCCAUAGCGACGGCAUGGUUUGGCACCUCGAUGUCGGCUCAUCGCAUCCUGGGGCUGAAGAAGGUCCCAAGGGUUUGGCUGUUCGCCAAUUAAAGCGGUACGCGAGCUGGGUUCAGAACGUCGUGAGACAGUUCGGUCUCCUAUCUAUUAUGGGCGUCGAAAUUUGAGAAGAUUCUUCCCUAGUACGAGAGGACCGGGAAGGACGAACCUCUAGUGUGCCAGUUGUCCUACCAAGGGCAUUGCUGGGUAGCUACGUUCGGCAACGGAUAAGCGCUGAAAGCAUCUAAGUGCGAAGCCGGCUUCAAGAUAAGAUUUCAUUUAGACCCCUUGGAGAAUACAAGGUUGAUAGGCGGUAGGUGUAAGACGAGUAAUCGUUUCAGCCGAGCCGUACUAAUAGGUCGAGUCUAACCACAA